UACAGAGGUGGCAAGCGUUGUUCGGAAUUACUGGGCGUAAAGGGCGCGUAGGCGGCCUUCUAAGUCGGACGUGAAAUCCCCAGGCUUAACUUGGGAACUGCGUCCGAUACUGGAGGGCUCGAGUGCGGGAGAGGUGAGUGGAACUCCGAGUGUAGAGGUGAAAUUCGUAGAUAUUCGGAAGAACACCAGUGGCGAAGGCGGCUCACUGGCCCGGUACUGACGCUGAGAUACGAAAGCGUGGGGAGCAAACAGG
rnacentral:rRNA from 1 species